GGACCCACUUCGCAGCAUUGCCGUAGCCCUGCCCGGCCACGCCACUUCGCCGUCGCAGCCCCCGCCCAGCCGCGCCACUCCGCCGUCAGCCUCGCCCAACUGCCUCCUUGCCAACGCAAACGAUUCCGAUGCGACGCUGCGGGCGGCGCUGCUGUCUACCCCGGCAACGGUGGCGGAGGAGCAGGAUGCAGUGGCGAGGGAUGUGGUAGAGGUGGGGCGCGGGGAAGGCUGCCCAGGCGGGGAUGAGCGACAGGUCGAUGGGGACGACACCCGGUCGCCGCCUGGCGGUGGGGACAAAGCUAGGGCCGGCAAAUUCAAAAGUGCGGGAGCAAAUGGGAAAACAUGGAAUUGAGCAAGAGCUGGCCAAAGAGCACCGCAAGCGGAAGUAGUUUGAAGUUUUUGUUGGUGGGCUAGAUAAAGAUGCAACAGAAAAUGACCUUAGGAAGGUUUUUUUGGUGAAGUUGGUGAUAUAACUCAAGUUCGUCUGAUGAUGAAUCCUGUCACAAAGAAGAACAAAGGCUUUGCCUUCCUGCGAUAUGCAACUGUGGAGCAAGCAAAGCGUGUUGUUUCAGAGCUAAAGAAUCCGUUGGUUGGUUUUAAGACCUCACUAUUUUGUGUUUGUGUCAUAUCCUUUUCACAAGUGUCUUCAUGUUCUAUUUAAUACUUUAUUAGGUGCAGGGUAAACAGUGUGGUGUUGCUCCAAGUCAUGAUAAUGAUACACUCUUCGUUCGCAAUAUCUGCAAAACAUGGAUAAAAGAACAUUUGAAGGACAAACUGAAGAAUUAUGGAGUUGAGAAUUUUGAUGAUUUACUACUGGUAGAGGAUAGCUAUAAUCCAGGAAUGAAUCGUGGCUAUGCUUUGCUCCAGUUUUCUACUCGACCUGAAGCAAUGGAUGCUUUCAUGAUAUGGCAGAAAAGGGAUUUAGUUGAUGAUUCCUUCGCUGAUUCCUGCCCCCAAGUUGAUGAUGAAAUACUGGCACAGGUGACCGAUUUUGCACAGUAAUUCCCUAAGUGGCUCUGCGGGUCAAAAAAAGAAUUCCUAACAUGGAUUGUCCAUUAGCUCUCACCUCCCAGGGUUGGAAAAUAAGGCGGGAAAGAGUUCAUGGUGAGAGUGUGCGCUGCUACAACGUGAGAGCUUAGUUCGAUGAGCUCCUCACGCCUCACCUGGUUAUGGAGAUUACACCAUUUCCCGCUGGACAUCUUACAAAUAAUGACUACCGCAAGGAGGAGAGGCUUGAGAUGGUGUCGAGACUAAGUGCUUCCAUUCUAAAACUACGGACUGAUUUUCCAUUUCCCUAAUAUUUUCUUUGCCCAAGUUGUAAAUUGUUUACCACUUAUCAAUGGGCCUGUACAUUGAUGCAAUUGGCUAAGAACUGCUUGUAUCCCUUGGGUUCUGCUCAGAUUGCCUUUUAAUUAACGCAUCUUAUCUCUAUCA